rnacentral:rRNA from 1 species
GAUGAACGCUGGCGGCGUGCUUAACACAUGCAAGCUGAGCGAAGCGCUUACGACAGAACCUUCGGGGGCAGAUGUAAGGGACUGAGCGGCGGACGGGUGAGUAACGCGUGGGUAACCUGCCUCAUACAGGGGGAUAACAGUUGGAAACGGCUGCUAAUACCGCAUAAGCGCACAGUAUCGCAUGAUACGGUGUGAAAAACUCCGGUGGUAUGAGAUGGACCCGCGUCUGAUUAGCUAGUUGGAGGGGUAACGGCCCACCAAGGCGACGAUCAGUAGCCGGCCUGAGAGGGUGAACGGCCACAUUGGGACUGAGACACGGCCCAGACUCCUACGGGAGGCAGCAGUGGGGAAUAUUGCACAAUGGGGGAAACCCUGAUGCAGCGACGCCGCGUGAAGGAAGAAGUAUCUCGGUAUGUAAACUUCUAUCAGCAGGGAAGAAAAUGACGGUACCUGACUAAGAAGCCCCGGCUAACUACGUG